rnacentral:lncRNA from 1 species
UUUCAAUUUUUGUUGGCUAGUUUUGGUAUGUCUAUGACGAAUGGCUAGAGGUUGCUAAGUUAAGAUUUAUUUGGGACACCAGGGCCUCUUUCCUCCUCCCUUUUCUGCUCACUCGUAGGGGUCGGGACCCCCACAAAGGGGGAGGGAGUCGACUGAACAUCUCAGCCAUUGGCGGGAAUUUCGCCCGCAUCCGAUCCCCAAUUCUUGUUCACCCCGGAUGAUC